GCACCGCUGGGGAGUCCCACGAUAGGACGAAACGGCCGUCCAGUGC
rfam:Schistosoma mattheei strain Denwood, Zambia genome assembly, scaffold: SMTD_scaffold0000383